rnacentral:rRNA from 1 species
GUGGAAUAUUGCACAAUGGGGGAAACCCUGAUGCAGCGACGCCGCGUGGAGGAAGAAGGUCUUCGGAUUGUAAACUCCUGUUGUUGAGGAAGAUAAUGACGGUACUCAACAAGGAAGUGACGGCUAACUACGUGCCAGCAGCCGCGGUAAAACGUAGGUCACAAGCGUUGUCCGGAAUUACUGGGUGUAAAGGGAGCGCAGGCGGGAAGACAAGUUGGAAGUGAAAUCUAUGGGCUCAACCCAUAAACUGCUUUCAAAACUGUUUUUCUUGAGUAGUGCAGAGGUAGGCGGAAUUCCCGGUGUAGCGGUGGAAUGCGUAGAUAUCGGGAGGAACACCAGUGGCGAAGGCGGCCUACUGGGCACCAACUGACGCUGAGGCUCGAAAGUGUGGGUAGCAAACAGGAUUAGAUACCCUGGUAGUCCACACCGUAAACGAUGAUUACUAGGUGUUGGAGGAUUGACCCCUUCAGUGCCGCAGUUAACACAAUAAGUAAUCCACCUGGGGAGUACGACCGCAAGGUUGAAACUCAAAGGAAUUGACGGGGGCCCGCACAAGCAGUGGAGUAUGUGGUUUAAUUCGACGCAACGCGAAGAACCUUACCAAGUCUUGACAUCCUGCGACGGACAUAGAAAUAUGUCUUUCCUUCAGGACGCAGAGACAGGUGGUGCAUGGUUGUCGUCAGCUCGUGUCGUGAGAUGUUGGGUUAAGUCCCGCAACGAGCGCAACCCUUACUGUCAGUUACUACGCAAGAGGACUCUGGCAGGACUGCCGUUGACAAAACGGAGGAAGGUGGGGAUGACGUCAAAUCAUCAUGCCCUUUAUGACUUGGGCUACACACGUACUACAAUGGCGUUAAACAAAGAGAAGCAAGACCGCGAGGUGGAGCAAAACUCAGAAACAACGUCCCAGUUCGGACUGCAGGCUGCAACUCGCCUGCACGAAGUCGGAAUUGCUAGUAAUCGUGGAUCAGCAUGCCACGGUGAAUACGUUCCCG